ensembl:ncRNA T19C4.19 ncRNA
CAAAAAGAAAUGCCGUCCGCAGGAUUCGAACCUGCGCCCUCCGGAGAGGACUGCGACCUGAACGCAGCGCCUUAGACCACUCGGCCAGAACGGCGG